AUACGUAGGAUCCGAGCAUUAUCCGGAGUGACUGGGUGUAAAGAGUUGCGUAGGUGGAUGUUUAAGUAGAUAGUGAAAUCUGGUGGCUCAACCAUUCAGACUGUUAUCUAAACUGGACAUCUCGAGAGCGUCAGGGGUAACUGGAAUUUCUAGUGUAGGAGUGAAAUCCGUAGAUAUUAGAAGGAACACCGAUAGCGUAGGCAGGUUACUGGGGCGUUUCUGACACUAAGGCACGAAAGCGUAGGGAGCAAACGGGAUUAGAUACCCCGGUAGUCUACGCCGUAAACGAUGGAUGCUAGCUGUGGGGGGUAUCGACCCCUUCCGUAGCGAAGCUAACGCGUUAAGCAUCCCACCUGUGUAGUACGAUCGCAAGAUUAAAACUUAAAGGAAUUGACGGGG
rnacentral:rRNA from 1 species